GAUGAACGCUGGCGGCGUGCCUAAUACAUGCAAGUCGAGCGAACAGACGAGGAGCUUGCUUCUCUGACGUUAGCGGCGGACGGGUGAGUAACACGUGGAUAACCUACCUAUAAGACUGGGAUAACUUCGGGAAACCGGAGCUAAUACCGGAUAAUAUAUUGAACCGCAUGGUUCAAUAGUGAAAUACGGUUUUGCUGUCACUUAUAGAUGGAUCCGCGCCGCAUUAGCUAGUUGUUAAGGUAACGGCUUACCAAGGCAACGAUGCGUAGCCGACCUGAGGGGGUGAUCGGCCACACUGGAACUGAGACACGGUCCAGACUCCUACGGGAGGCAGCAGUAGGGAAUCUUCCGCAAUGGGCGAAAGCCUGACGGAACAACGCCGCGUGAGUGAUGAAGGUCUUCGGAUCGUAAAACUCUGUUAUUAGGGAAGAACAAAUGUGUAAGUAAAUAUGCACGUCUUGACGGUACCUAAUAAGAAAGCCACGGCUAACUACGUG
rnacentral:rRNA from 1 species